rnacentral:rRNA from 1 species
UACGUAGGGUGCAAGCGUUAAUCGGAAUUACUGGGCGUAAAGCGUGCGCAGGCGGCUUUGCAAGACAGAUGUGAAAUCCCCGGGCUCAACCUGGGAACUGCAUUUGGGACUGCAAGGCUAGAGUACGGCAGAGGGGGGUAGAAUUCCUGGUGUAGCAGUGAAAUGCGUAGAUAUCAGGAGGAAUACCGAUGGCGAAGGCAGCCCCCUGGGUCGAUACUGACGCUCAUGCACGAAAGCGUGGGGAGCAAACAGG